rnacentral:rRNA from 1 species
GAUGAACGCUGGCGGCGUGCCUAAUACAUGCAAGUCGAGCGAACAGACGAGGAGCUUGCUCCUCUGACGUUAGCGGCGGACGGGUGAGUAACACGUGGAUAACCUACCUAUAAGACUGGGAUAACUUCGGGAAACCGGAGCUAAUACCGGAUAAUAUAUUGAACCUCAUGGUUCAAUAGUGAAAGACGGUUUUGCUGUCACUUAUAGAUGGAUCCGCGCCGCAUUAGCUAGUUGGUAAGGUAACAGCUUACCAAGGCAACGAUGCGUAGCCGACCUGAGAGGGUGAUCGGCCACACUGGAACUGAGACACGGUCCAGACUCCUACGGGAGGCAGCAGUAGGGAAUCUUCCGCAAUGGGCGAAAGCCUGACGGAGCAACGCCGCGUGAGUGAUGAAGGUCUUCGGAUCGUAAAACUCUGUUAUUAGGGAAGAACAAAUGUGUAAGUAACUAUGCACGUCUUGACGGUACCUAAUCAGAAAGCCACGGCUAACUACGUG